rnacentral:tRNA from 1 species
CAAAAUGUAGCUUAAUUAAAGCAUCUUGCUUACACCAAGAACAUAUCCGUUUAACUCAGAUCAUUUUGA